CAUGGAUAACUGUGGUAAUUCUAGAGCUAAUACAUGCAGCAAGCCUUGACCCUUACGGGCAAGGCGCAGUUAUUAGAUCAAAAACCAAUCGGUUGUGUCUUCGGAUGCAGCCGUUAGCUUGGUGACUCUGAGUAACCACAGCGAACCGUAUGGCCUCGUGCUCGACGGUCUGUCAGUCAAGCAACUGCCUUAUCAGCUUGUUGUUAGGUUAUAUGCCUAACAAGGCUUCAACGGGUAACGAACGAUCGGGGUCGGAUAUCGGAGAGGGAGCUUGAGAAACGGCUACCACUUCCAAGGAAGGCAGCAGGCGCGCAAAUUACCCACUCUCGGCAUGAGGAGGUAGCGAUAAAAUGUAUCGAUGCGGGGCCAUUAGUGCCUUCGUAAUCGGAAUGAGUACACUUUAAAUCCUAUAACGAGGACCUAUUGGAGGGCAAGUCUGGUGCCAGCAGCCGCGGUAAUUCCAGCUCCAAUAGCGUAUAUUAAUGCUGCUGCGGUUAAAAAGCUCGUAGUCGGAUCUGGGUUACCGGCGGGUACCGCAUGUUGCUUCACGCAGCAUGUUGUGUACUAUACGUGUCGCUUCGGCGGCACUGCCAGUGUAAUUGUACCCCACGUGGGUGCGUUACGCUGGUCGCCGGAACCACGAGCCGGGUUGAGCAGCAUGCUCUUAAUUGAGUGUGUUGUUUACUCGGUGCGUUUACUUUGAAAAAAUUGGAGUGCUCAAAGCAAGCGUACAGUCGCUAUGCGGCUUGAACAGUGGUGCAUGGAAUAAUGGAAUAGGGCCUCGGUUCUAUUUUGUUGGUUUUAAGAUAUCGAGGUAAUGAUUAAGAGGGACAGACGGGGACGUUUGUAUUGCGACGUUAGAGGUGAAAUUCUUGGAUCGUCGCA
rnacentral:rRNA from 2 species